ACAAACUGAAACAGGACAAGUACCUUGACCGCCACGCUUCUCUUCUCUCUCUCUCUCCAAAUGGUUAUCAUGGAGUCUCUUUCCAUGGUGCUCUCCUCUUGUCCACUCGACCUCAAAACCCAGAAACCGGCCAUCUCUAAACCCAUAUCUCCUCGUCCAAACUCUACUCCCACCCUCAUUCUCAGUUCUCCUCAGACCAAACUCACCUCCUCCACCUUUAAAUUACCUUUCCAGAACUGUCCUCUCGAUCUCCAAGCCUCUCCCUUGUUUCAAAAUCUAACGAAGAGUCGACUCUCUUUCACUCUAUUCAACCUCCUCACUUCUCUUCCUUGCUUUGCUUCUGAAGCUGUUGUCUCCUCCCGGGACCAAGUCUCGGACAAAAUCAACCUGGAGUCGGUCUUACUUGCCAUCGAUGAUUUUUUCAACAGAAACCCAUUUUUUGUUGCUGGGUGUACAUUCAUUUGGUUGGUUGUCAUACCUCUAACUGAGGAAUACUUGAGAAAAUACAAAUUCAUCUCUGCCAUUGAUGCGUUUAGAAAACUCCGUGACGACCCCAGUGCGCAGCUCUUGGAUAUAAGGAAAAAGAAGAGUUUGAAGUACUUGAAGUCUCCAAAUUUGACGAUUCUUAACAAGGACGUGCUGCAGGUUCAGUAUUAUGAGGGAGAUGAAGAUGGGUUUGUGAAGAAGGUCUUGGAAAGCUUUGGGGACCCCGCAAGUACUGUGGUCUGUGUUCUCGACAAUUUUGAUGGUAAUGCCAUGAAAGUGGCCGAAUUAUUAUUCAAGAAUGGUUUCAAAGAGGCAUAUGCAAUCAGGGGCGGAGUCAGAGGUGAAAAGGGGUGGUUGGCAAUACAGGAUUCUCUUUUGCCACCAUCUGUGCAUAUCUAUCGCAAGAAGAAAGUUAAAAAUACUCAACAACUUCGGAUGAAUGGAGGAGUUAUUCAGCAAACUGAAGAUACGAAUGAUGCUACCUCUUCUGAUAAUCUCUCUCUUGGAGAAAAAUGGAAAACUGAUGAUCAUCUAAACAAGUCAACAGAAUCCAUACCAGACAUCAAAAGUGGAUCUUGAUUAUCCUCUCCCUAUAUUAAUGAGAUAGCAUCGCGCAACACCGGAUUUAGAAUGAAAGAUAAAAGUUUUCAUUGGAUGACUUGAUGAUGCUCAAAGUGUUUAUAGUUAAUAUUACUCUGCAUGGAGAAAGGAUGACAUGUAGCCUGUACCAGAGCCUGACUGAAGUCACCAUUUUUGGUCUCCUUCAGAGCCUCAAAAGCGAUGCUGUAUGUCUCAAGUGGCAACCCCUGUUAGGUCGAAGGUCGUUUUAGUUUUUGAGGCAGCCCAUGUUGGGCGAAGUGGAAGCGGAAACAUUCUUAACACUCCUAAGAUGUAACCAUAUGGUUUAAUUUUCUUUGAAAAUUACUGGAGGAGGCCUAUUAACCUAAAUUGCUGGUCCUAAUAUAUCCUCUCUUGGGUCCAUUUGAUGAACUAGGUUUUACCCAAAAAAAAAAAAAGAGAGAGAGAGAUUUGAUUUGUCAUUCUCUUCCAAACUAUUUUUCUUUUGCAUCUCAUGAUGAGAAAAUGUGAUGUUUUUUCUUGAACUAUUUACCUUAGUUGUGCUGUGUAAGUACUUGAAUUUUUUUCUUGAA